rnacentral:lncRNA from 1 species
CACCAUGGAAUACUAUGCAGACCUAAAAAGGAAUGAGAUCAUGUCGUUUGCAGGGACAUGGAUGGAGCUAGAAGCCAUUAUCCUCAGAAGACUAACACAGGAACAGAAAACCAAACACCACAUAUUCUCACUUAUAAGUGGGAGCUGAAUGAUGAGAACACAUGGACAUGUGGUGUGGGAACAACACACCUGGGGCCUGUUGGAGGGUGGGGGCUGGGAGGAGGGAGAGCAUCAAGAAUAGCUAAUGAGGCCAGGCACGGUGGCUCAUACCUGUAAUCCCAGCAUUUUGGGAGGCUGAGGCGGGCAGAUCAUUUGAGAUCAGGAGUUCGAGACCAGCCCGGCCAAUAUGGUGAAACCCCGUCUCUAUUAAAAAUACAAAAAUAUUAGCCAGGCGUGGUGACAAUGCCUGUAGUCCCUGCAACUUGGGACGGUGAGGCAGGAGAAUCGCUUGAACCUGGGAGGUGGAGUUUGCAGUGAGCCAAGGUCACGCCACUGCACUCCAGCCUGGGUGAAAGAGUGAGGCUC